CAAAAAUCAGUUCUUGUUGAUUCAAGAAAAGGAAAAUGAGAGAAUAUUGGACCUCUUUUGCUUCUCUUCUUGGUGUUUUGGCCUUCUGCCAAACUCUCGUCCAAGUUAUCUUCCCACCUGAGCUCCGUUUUGCCUUUAUCAAACUCUUCAACCGGAUCUUGAACACUUUCUCUUCUUAUUUCUACUUCGAUAUCACUGAAAUCGAUGGUGUUAAUACCAACGAGCUUUAUAACGCCGUUCAGCUUUAUCUCAGCUCCUCCGUCUCCAUCUCCGGCACCCGCUUGAGCCUCACCCGGGCUCUUAACUCCAGCGCCAUCACUUUUGGCCUCACAAAUAAUGACUCCAUUUUUGAUACUUUCAAUGGUGUCACCGUCCACUGGGAGCACGUCGUCACUCAAAGGCAAGCUCAGACAUUCUCUUGGCGGCCAUUGCCUGAGGAGAAGAGAGGCUUCACUCUUCGAAUCAAGAAAAAGGACAAGUCUUUGAUUCUUGAUUCGUAUCUGGAUUACAUUAUGGAGAGAGCGAAUGAUAUCAGAAGGAGAAAUCAAGACCGCUUGUUGUAUACCAACUCGAGGGGUGGGUCGUUGGACUCCAGAGGCCAUCCAUGGGAAUCUGUUCCUUUCAAGCAUCCGAGCACUUUCGAUACUUUGGCCAUGGACCCAGUGAAGAAGCAGGAGAUUAUGGAAGAUUUGAAAGAUUUCGGUAAUGGGCAAGCCUUCUAUCAGAAAACUGGGAGGGCAUGGAAGAGAGGUUAUUUGCUUUAUGGACCGCCUGGUACUGGCAAAUCUAGUAUGAUUGCUGCCAUGGCUAAUUAUCUUGGUUACGAUAUUUAUGAUCUUGAAUUGACUGAGGUUCACACCAACUCAGAGCUUAGGAAACUUCUGAUGAAGACAACUUCCAAAUCCUUAAUUGUUAUUGAGGAUAUUGAUUGUUCUAUUAAUUUGAGCAACAGAAAGAAGAGCAACAACAAUGGCAAUUCCAUGGGAAGAAGCUACUAUGACCCAGAAAUGCGAUCUGGGUCUGGUUGUAGCGGUGGUGCUGGUGGUGAAGAAGGUGGGAAUUCAAUAACUUUAUCUGGGUUAUUGAAUUUCACAGAUGGGUUGUGGUCAUGUUGUGGAAGUGAAAGGAUUUUUGUAUUCACUACCAACCACAUUGAGAAACUUGAUCCUGCAUUGCUAAGGAGUGGAAGGAUGGACAUGCAUAUUUUCAUGAGUUACUGUUCAUUUCCAGCACUGAAAAUUUUAUUGAAAAAUUAUUUGGGGAAUAAAGAGAGUGAUUUAGAUGAUAAGAUUCUCAAGGAAUUGGAAGACGUUAUUGAUAAGGCAGAGAUGACUCCUGCUGAUGUUAGUGAGGUUUUGAUUAAGUACAGGCGAAACAAAGACAGGGCGGUGAGAGAAUUGCUUGGAGCAUUGAAGGAAAGAGCUGAGAAGAAUUUAAAGAAUGGAGGUCUCAGGGACAAGAAUUUGAAUGCUGUGGAAGAAGAAGAAGAAGAAG
rnacentral:misc_RNA from 1 species